rnacentral:lncRNA from 1 species
GCCUCCAGUUAGAAGAUGAUGGAUACUAUACAAUUGUUUCACCUUAGCUACUACAAAAAUGACACUUAUCUUACCUAGAUCCGAGCCAUACCAGAUCUCUUUAUGAAGAUCUGGGAAGCACAGGCCACGGACCUAGAACUUACUAAGAAUCUAGGGUAAUUCACUUAUGAAAAAUUACCUACUUUUAGGAUCUCAGAUGAUGGAUUGUUUAGAUUCUGGAAUCGAAUUUUGGUCCCCAUUAUUGUACAAAUGAAUAUACUCAAGACCGCCCAUGCUUCCAAGUUAUCCAUUCAU